rnacentral:rRNA from 1 species
GGCUCAGGACGAACGCUGGCGGCGUGCUUAACACAUGCAAGUCGAACGGUGAUGUCAGAGCUUGCUCUGGCGGAUCAGUGGCGAACGGGUGAGUAACACGUGAGUAACCUGCCCCCGACUCUGGGAUAACUGCUAGAAAUGGUAGCUAAUACCGGAUAUGAYGAUUGGCCGCAUGGUCUGGUCGUGGAAAGAAUUUCGGUUGGGGAUGGACUCGCGGCCUAUCAGGUUGUUGGUGAGGUAAUGGCUCACCAAGCCUACGACGGGUAGCCGGCCUGAGAGGGUGACCGGCCACACUGGGACUGAGACACGGCCCAGACUCCUACGGGAGGCAGCAGUGGGGAAUAUUGCACAAUGGGCGCAAGCCUGAUGCAGCAACGCCGCGUGAGGGAUGACGGCCUUCGGGUUGUAAACCUCUUUUAGUAGGGAAGAAGCGAAAGU